UUUCUUAACAGGAAAGUUUAUGAUAGUCAGCCAAAUGGUUGGACAAUUUUAGCAAACUCCAAUAUAUUGGACAAUCCUGUCGCGUUCGUGGCAUACUGCAAACUGAUUGCAAUAUUUUGAAACAUGCACCAGCAUAAAAUUUAUCCCGCAAAAUGGUUCCUAAGUCCCGAAGGUCCCCAGUUUACAGCGCCUCUUGGCUCUGCCUGUACGAUGUGGAAAAAAGAGUUUGCUAUAUUGUCCAACCAUUUGGCUGACUCAGUUCAUCAACUUUCCUGUGAAAAAA